rnacentral:rRNA from 1 species
AGCAGCAGCCGCGGUAAUACGUAGGUGGCGAGCGUUGUCCGGAAUUAUUGGGCGUAAAGGGAGCGCAGGCGGACAUAUAAGUCCAUCUUAAAAGUGCGGGGCUCAACCCCGUGAGGGGAUGGAAACUGUAUGCCUUGAGUGCAGGAGAGGAAAGCGGAAUUCCCAGUGUAGCGGUGAAAUGCGUAGAUAUUGGGAGGAACACCAGUGGCGAAGGCGGCUUUCUGGACUGCAACUGACGCUGAGGCUCGAAAGCCAGGGGAGCAAAUGGGAUUAGAUACCCCCGUAGUCCCUGUCUCUUAUACA